rnacentral:misc_RNA from 1 species
GAAAUGCGAUAAGUAAUGUGAAUUGCAGAAUUCAGUGAAUCAUCGAAUCUUUGAACGCACCUUGCGCUCCUUGGUAUUCCUUGGAGCAUACCUGUUUGAGUAUCAUGAAAUCUUCAAAGUAAAUCUUUUGUUAACUCAAUUGGUUUCUACUUUGGUAUUGGAGGUCUUUGCAGCUUCACACCUGCUCCUCUUUGUUCAUUAGCUGGAUCUCAGUGUUAUGCUUGGUUCCACUCGGCGUGAUAAGUUAUCUAUCGCUGAGGACACUGUAAAAGGUGGCCAAGGUAAAUGCAGAUGAACCGCUUCUAAUAGUCCAUUGACUUGGACAAUACUUUUAUGAUCUGAUCUCAAAUCAGGUAGGACUAACCGCUGAACUUAAGC